CUCAACCGUAAGGAGGGGGAUGCCUAAGGCAGGGCUAGUGACUGGGGUGAAGUCGUAACAAGGUAGCCGUACCGGAAGGUGUGGCUGGAUCACCUCCUUAAAGGGAGACCUAAUUCCGGUAGGAGACGAAAAAAAAGUAGUCCCAACCGAGAAUCAAUCCCAAAAGGUCGGAGCGAGGCGAAAUUGGCUUUCAAACUAGGUUCUGGGUUCACACAAGACCUGAAUCAGGAACAAGGGCUAUUAGCUCAGGUGGUUAGAGCGCACCCCUGAUAAGGGUGAGGUCCCUGGUUCGAGUCCAGGAUGGCCCACCUGCACAGGUGGCAAAAACAAAAGAAGCGAGGAAUCAGCACCUUAUCUUACUUAUAUAGUAAGAGAGAAUGCUGGCUCUGAGUACAGAGUCCAGAGGAACCUUGAAAACUGCAUAGAGCUAGGUGAAAAAGCCAAAAAAGAAGACCGCAAGGUCAAGCUAAUAAGGGCUAACGGUG
rnacentral:sRNA from 1 species